rnacentral:rRNA from 1 species
UACAGAGGGUGCGAGCGUUAAUCGGAAUUACUGGGCGUAAAGCGCACGUAGUCGGCUUUGCAAGUCGGGUGUGAAAUCCCCGGGCUCAACCUGGGAACUGCAUCCGAGACUGCAUUGCUAGAGUAUGGGAGAGGGAAGCGGAAUUUCUGGUGUAGCAGUGAAAUGCGUAGAGAUCAGGAGGAACACCCGUGGCGAAGGCGGCCCCCUGGGUCGGCCCUGACGCUGAGGCGCGAAAGCUAGGGGAGCAAACGGG